UUUUUUUUUUUUUUUUUUGUCUCUAUGGGCUUUCUCUCUGUGAAUAUGUGUGUCCCUGUGUCUAUGUUUUUCUUGUGGUUUUUCUUUGGCAUUUUUCUCUUCUUUUGUUUUUGUUUUUAUUUUUCCUAUGCAGGUUCAUUUGUUUUUAUUUUAUUUUGCCUUAUUAUUUUCCUUCCUUAUUUAAAAGAUGCCUAUUUGUUUUCAAAUGAGAAAGAAUAAGAAAGGGUAUGGGUUUGGGUGGUAGGGAGGUGGUGGGGUCUAGGAGGGCUUGGAGGAGGAGAAAAUGCAAUCGGAAUAAAUUAUAUGAAAAAAAUUUUCAAAAAAAUAAAUAAAAGAAAAAAAAGGAAGGGGAUUAACAGUGAGAACCACUGCUUAUAGUGACUACUGCAAUGGGAGUGAUCAUAUUAGUUUCUGUCUUAACAUUACUAUAGAUAAAUUAGACAGUAUAGAAAAGUAUAAGUCAAUUUUCUCUACCAAAAUAGAGAUAUUUGACUCUGAUAGCACAAAUUUAUAUAUUUUGAAGGUUUUGUGAAUAAAAUUAUGCCAGAAACAGCCAGGAAAAUAGAGAAAACUUUACCACAUUAAGAAGAAAACUGUUAUUUAUAUAUAUAAAAGACCACUGUAACAGAACUCUUAUACAAGUAAGUGCAAAGUUAUGGGAGCACACAGUUCUUGUGAUUAUUUAUGCUGGAGAACUUCUGGCUGCACAGAAGAGGUGAUAAUUCAGAAUAGCUUGGCUAGUACUGUGAUGGUGAUGGACUAGAAUAUUGGCAGGGUAUAGGCAAUCAAUAUUACAAAUAAAAGCAGCGUGGAGGCAUUGGCUCAGUCAGGCAUUGCUGGCGCUAAAUAUGAAUUUGUGACUGAUACAUAUAGAGUGAAGUUGCUAUUACCUUGGGAACCAUUUUGUUAUCCCAAUGAUUUUGUACUUGGUUCCAUAAACAUUACUGAGCCAUCAGACAUCUUUAAACCUGAGAAAGACACAAUGGAGUCUCUCCAGACAGAUCACAGUGGCCUUAGUGUUGAAGUUGGAUUGAAAGAAGCUAGAGGUAGGAAAAGCUUUGGUGAGACUAAUACAUUAAGACAGGUAAGUGCAUACCUGGAGUAUUAGAGUAAGACACUAGAAGGGAAGGUUGGGAAGGACAGAAGACGUUUCACAAGCUAAUUACAGUUGAUACUUGAAAAAAUAUUUUGGAAGUUCAAGUUUAUUUUUUCUGUCAUCGAAAACUAUAAUAGUGCCAUUGUUUUUGUUGGUUUUCUGUUUGUUUAUUUGUUUGUUUGUU
rnacentral:lncRNA from 1 species